rnacentral:rRNA from 1 species
AUGGGUGUUCCGGUCGGUCUCGCCUGGACCUGGAGCACAGCCCUCCGGCUCCGGCGGCGCCACCUCGACGGCGACGAACGUGAUGUUGGAGCGGCAGAGGGGGCAAUUGGAGUGCGACUUGAGCCAAGUGUCGAUGCACUGCUGGUGGAACGCAUGGCUGCAUUUGGGCAGCAGCCGGAGGCUCUCCCCGUCGUCGAACUCGCCGAGGCAGACCGAGCAGUCGGUGGUGUGGAGGACGGGCCCGUCGCCGCGCCUGUACUUGCACACCGUGAUCUUGUUGAUCAGGGUCUCGUCCAGCCCGCUCGCCGGCGACACGUUCCACGACUCCUGGCUCCUGGACUGCCCGUGGCCGCUCCCAGGACCGCCGGUGCCCCCACCGCCGCCGGAGCCGGAGCCGGGGCCAAAGAGCCUCCUCCGGAGGGAGCCGAAGGUGCCGCAGUACUUGGAGAUGAAGGUGUAGUAGCUGACGAGGAGGAAGGCGGUGGCCAGCACGCCGAUGAUGGCGAUGACGAGCGGGGAGAAGACGUGGCCGGAGGAGUCGUCGGGGCCGGGGCCGGCGAGGUCGAAGGGCGGCGGCGGGGGGAAGAUGAAGUAGCACCACUGGGGGCAGUAGAGGCUGCAGAGCCCCUGGGAGCAGUCCCUGGUUGGCUCGUAGGGCACCCAGGUGGGCUCCGUCCCGACGAUUGCAGGCGGCGAGGACGCCAUAGCCUCCCCCUCCUCCUCCUCCUAGCACCAAAUCUUGGCAACCGCAACAGCAGGCGAGAAACAGAGACAGAUGUGUUGCCAACCACCUCACUCACUCACUCAGUCCGAGACGACUGGGUGCUCAGGUACUAG